rnacentral:tRNA from 1 species
UGUGUGUAAUUUAAAUAAAAUAUCAAGCUGUGACCUUGAAAAUAGAUGCUCUCACACACC